rnacentral:lncRNA from 1 species
AAAUGCAACAACUUGAGCAAGAGUGAUCAGUUACUAAGAGGAGUACCUAACGUCCUUAGAAGAAAAGAUUCAGAUCAUAGGGAUUUUAUUUACAGAAAUGUAUUUACCUGUUUGUAAUGUAUGCCAGUUUAGGUAGCUCAUAGUGAGCACAAUAAAAUUCCAGAAGACCGAUGAUGGCUGUUAGAUAUAACAGAACGCUCUGAGAGUCACUAUCAGAAAUGAGCAUAUCAGUGCAUAAAAUGUAUGGUAGCUUUAUUUAGCAGCUGUUUCAUUGUUUACCAUAGCAUUUUUCUCGUUUAGUGGAUAUAGAAACUUGAAAGAAGACCAUAUACUGGAAACAAUUCCAUGUGUCUAAAAAAUGGUCUCCUCCAGUACACAAAAAUAAAACAUCAAAUGUUUAUUUCUUAGAAAGAUCAAAUAGUGCUAGGAUGACACUUACAAAAGCUUUCAAACUUUGGAUGAGUGGGAAGCCAGAUGACAAAGAUGCCUUAGAUGAGCAUAAGUCCUCUCCAACAGAAUAUGCUCCAUUAUAUCCUCAUCCAACAGGCUUUAUGUAUCAAUAG